rnacentral:rRNA from 1 species
ACGGCUCAGUAACACGUGGACAACCUACCCUUAGGACAGGUAUAAACCCGGGAAACUGGGUAUAAUCCCUGAUAGUCCUCGACUGCUGGAAUGCAUCGAGGCCGAAAGCUCCGGCGCCUAAGGAUGGGUCUGCGGCCUAUCAGGUAGUAGUGGGUCUAAAGUACCUACUAGCCUACGACGGGUACGGGUUGUGAGAGCAAGAGCCCGGAGAUGGAUUCUGAGACACGAAUCCAGGCCCUACGGGGUGCAGCAGGCGCGAAAACUUUACAAUGCCGGCAACGGCGAUAAGGGGACCUCGAGUGCCAGGUUACAAAUCUGGCUGUCGUGAUGCCUAAAAAGCAUUGCAUAGCAAGGGCCGGGCAAGACCGGUGCCAGCCGCCGCGGUAACACCGGCGGCUCGAGUGGUAACCGUUAUUAUUGGGUCUAAAGGGUCUGUAGCCGGCCGGAUAAGUCUCUUGGGAAAUCCAGCAGCUCAACUGUUGGGCUUCCAGGAGAUACUGUCUGGCUCGAGGCCGGGAGAGGUGAGAGGUACUUCAGGGGUAGGGGUGAAAUCUUGUAAUCCUUGAAGGACCACCAGUGGCGAAGGCGUCUCACCAGAACGGACCUGACGGCAAGGGACGAAAGCUAGGGGCACGAACCGGAUUAGAUACCCGGGUAGUCCUAGCCGUAAACGAUACUCGCUAGGUGUCGGCCACGGUGCGACCGUGGUCGGUGCCGUAGGGAAGCCGUGAAGCGAGCCACCUGGGAAGUACGGCCGCAAGGCUGAAACUUAAAGGAAUUGGCGGGGGAG